ensembl:lincRNA Gm43837 predicted gene 43837
AUCCAAUGACAGGGAUCUGUAGCAGGGCCUUCCCAUUAACCAGUUUGUGUCCUCUUUUCUGAAACCCUCCUAGAUGGGUCCCUGUGACCUCUUCUUCAACAGCAGCGGCCGGAAGAACAACAGCUGCUGUUCAUAAACAUUGCUUUACACCUCCUGUCAACCAUUGGAAUUUGUCGCUGCUUUGUUUUGAGUCUGGAACCCCAGCCCAUGAAACGUACUGCGCCAAUGGAUUGUCCUACCUGGGAUGGCAUCGUGCUCUCGGAUGCACUAGUAUCUGAUUUCCUCUCUGUAUCGGCUGCUUUCGUAUUCAACCAAAGGAUCUGACAGAAACAGCCUAAGAAGGAAAGUUUAUUUCGACUCCUGGUUUCAGAGUGGGGCAGACAUGUGAGAGCCCACCGCAGCCGGAGCAUGUGAUGGAAGACCCUUCACGUCACAGUGGGCCAGGGCUAGAGGCUGGGCUAUCUUCUGAGGUCUGACUUAAAUGACCUCCUUCCGCUAGCAAAGCUCCACUUCCCAUUCCACAGCCUCCCAGGAUAGAACCACCACAUGGGGAAUGAGCUCUUAAAGCCUGAGCCUGUGGGGGCACUUCAGAGUCAAGCCGCAAUAUUCUACCACUGGACCCAAAGGCUCGUGGGCAUCUCGUGACUAGAGCUGCAUCGUGUCUAAUU